rnacentral:rRNA from 1 species
UACGUAUGGUGCGAGCGUUAUCCGGAAUUACUGGGUGUAAAGGGAGCGUAGACGGCGAAGUAAGCCUGAAGUGGAAGCCCGCGGCCCAACCGCGGAACUGCUUUGGGAACUGCUUAGCUGGAGUAUGGGAGGGGUAAGCGGAAUUCCUGGUGUAGCGGUGAAAUGCGUAGAUAUCAGGAGGAACACCGGUGGCGAAGGCGGCUUACUGGACCAUGACUGACGUUGAGGCUCGAAAGCGUGGGGAGCGAACAGG